UGGGGGAUAUUGCACAAUGGAGGAAACUCUGAUGCAGCAACGCCGCGUGAGGGAAGAAGGUUUUCGGAUUGUAAACCUCUGUUUUUAGUGAAGGAACAAAUGACGGUAGCUAAAGAGGAAGCCACGGCUAACUACGUGCCAGCAGCCGCGGUAAUACGUAGGUGGCAAGCGUUGUCCGGAAUUACUGGGUGUAAAGGGUGCGCAGGCGGGAUUGCAAGUUGGAUGUGAAAUACCGGGGCUUAACCCCGGAGCUGCAUCCAAAACUGUAGUUCUUGAGUGGAGUAGAGGUAAGCGGAAUUCCGAGUGUAGCGGUGAAAUGCGUAGAUAUUCGGAGGAACACCAGUGGCGAAGGCGGCUUACUGGGCUCUAACUGACGCUGAGGCACGAAAGCAUGGGUAGCAAACAGGAUUAGAUACCCUGGUAGU
rnacentral:rRNA from 1 species